rnacentral:lncRNA from 1 species
GGGACGGAGGAGGGGGGCCCCCGGGGAGGGGACGGAGGAGGGGGGCGGGCGGAGGUGACCCAGGCGGCGCCGAGGGGAGCACGGGACGCCCCCCCUUCCCUUCUCAGGAAAUUGGUCUGAACCCAACUUAGAGACCUCCUGUGAGGUUCUUGUGGACAACCAAGACACUUAAGAGAUGUCUGAGCAUUACACACCAUGUCUGCUGCACAGACGAUCAAAUGAAGUUUUUGAGCCGUCAAGCCUCUCCAGUGUCCUGGCGUCUAAACCUGCUGACAUGAUGGGGCUGUGCUUUCCCUGGAAGAUGGUCUCUAUUCCUGACCAUUCUGAAGGCAAAGAACUCGAAAUCAGUUCAAAUGCAAGUCGCAGCACAUCCACGGAGCAGCUGGAAGUGCUGCCUGUGGCCUGUCGUAAUGGCGGGGUAGCAGGGAGAGAGAAAUGUUUUUCUUCACCCAUCAUUGGCUUUAUGACUAAGGCCCCUAGAACAAAAGACAGAAUAGCAAGAGAAAAGCAGGUCCAUGUAUUUAGGUCUUAUGUGACGUGAAAGCCAUCAUAAGAAAGAAAUAGGGAAAUCUGAGUAUUUUUGUGCUUCAGUUUUGGUUUUUUGUUUGUUUUUUGAGAUGGAGUCUCACUCUGUCGCCCAGGCUGGAGUUCUAUGGCGUGAUCUCGGCUCACUGCAACCUCCACCUCGUGGGUUCAAGCGAUUCUCCUGCCUCAGCCUCCCGAGUACCUGGGACUAUAGGCAAGCAGCACCACGUCCGGCUAAUUUUUGUAUUUUUAGUAGAGACAGAGUUUCGCCAUGUUGGCCAGGCUGGUUUCGAACUCCUGACCUCAGUGGAUCCACCCGCCUCGGUGUCCCAAAGUGCUGGGAUGACAGAUGUGAUAUGCUUAGUUUUAAUGAAGAGUGAACAGUGAUGGAGAAGUAUGAUUAUUGGACAAAAGUGUUACAGGAAUGGGGUCCCGAUCCAGACCCCAAGAGACGGUUCUUGGAUCUCAAGCGAGAAAGAAUUCAGGAUGAGUCCACAGAGUAAAGUGAAAGCAAGUUGAUUAGGAAACAAAAGGAAUACAGAAUGGCUACUCCAUAGACAGAGCAGUCCCGAGGACUCCUGGUUGCCCAUUUUUUAUGGUGGUUUCUAUGGAUAUGCUAAACAAGGGGUGGAUUAUUCAUGCCUCCCGUUUUUAGACCAUGUAGGGUAACUUCCUGAUGUUGCCAUGGCAUUUGUAACUGUCAUGGCGCUGGUGGGAGUGUAGCAGUGAGGAUGACCAGAGGUCACUCUUGUGGCUGUCUUGGUUUUGGUAGGAUUUGACUGGCUUCUUUUUUU